CCGGGGAGUACGGCCGCAAGGCUAAAACUCAAAGGAAUUGACGGGACCGCACAAGCGGCGGAGCAUGCGGAUUAAUUCGAUGCAACGCGAAGAACCUUACCAAGGCUUGACAUAUACGAGAACGGGCCAGAAAUGGUCAACUCUUUGGACACUCGUAAACAGGUGAUGCAUGGUUGUCGUCAGCUCGUGUCGUGAGAUGUUGGGUUAAGUCCCGCAACGAGCGCAACCCUCGUUCUAUGUUGCCAGCACGUAAUGGUGGGAACUCAUGGGAUACUGCCGGGGUCAACUCGGAGGAAGGUGGGGAUGACGUCAAAUCAUCAUGCCCCUUAUGUCUUGGGCUUCACGCAUGCUACAAUGGCCGGUACAAAGGGCUGCAAUACCGUGAGGUGGAGCGAAUCCCAAAAAGCCGGUCCCAGUUCGGAUUGAGGUCUGCAACUCGACCUCAUGAAGUCGGAGUCGCUAGUAAUCGCAGAUCAGCAACGCUGCGGUGAAUACGUUCCCGGGUCUUGUACAC
rnacentral:rRNA from 1 species